UGCCGUGAUGACAGUUUAUUUGCUACUCUUGACAAGAUGGGUGACGAUACAAACAACCACCAAGUUGACAUCUGAGGCA